UACGGGGGGAGCAAGCGUUGUUCGGAUUUACUGGGCGUAAAGGGCGCGUAGGCGGCCACCGCAAGUCAAUUGUGAAAUCUCCGGGCUUAACUCGGAAAGGUCAACUGAUACUGCGGGGCUAGAGUGCGGAAGGGGCAACUGGAAUUCUCGGUGUAGCGGUGAAAUGCGUAGAUAUCGAGAGGAACACCUGCGGCGAAGGCGGGUUGCUGGGCCGACACUGACGCUGAUGCGCGAAAGCCAGGGGAGCAAACGGG
rnacentral:rRNA from 1 species